rnacentral:rRNA from 1 species
GAUGAACGCUAGCUACAGGCUUAACACAUGCAAGUCGAGGGGCAGCAUGACCUAGCAAUAGGUUGAUGGCGACCGCGCACGGGUGAGUAACACGUAUCCAACCUACCGGUUAUUCCGGGAUAGCCUUUCGAAAGAAAGAUUAAUACCGGAUAGUAUAACGAGAAGGCAUCUUUUUGUUAUUAAAGAAUUUCGAUAACCGAUGGGGAUGCGUUCCAUUAGUUUGUUGGCGGGGUAACGGCCCACCAAGACAUCGAUGGAUAGGGGUUCUGAGAGGAAGGUCCCCCACAUUGGAACUGAGACACGGUCCAAACUCCUACGGGAGGCAGCAGUGAGGAAUAUUGGUCAAUGGACGAGAGUCUGAACCAGCCAAGUAGCGUGAAGGAUGACUGCCCUAUGGGUUGUAAACUUCUUUUAUAUGGGAAUAAAGUGAGCCACGUGUGGCUUUUUGUAUGUACCAUACGAAUAAGGAUCGGCUAACUCCGUG